GCAGACGACCGCGACGUCGUGCAGGGGCGCCCGAGCUCGGGUGUGCGGGCGAGAAAGGGCACCAGGACGGGGACGGGGCGGGAGGGGUCCAGGUUCAGCGGGUGAGGAGGACACGGGUUACGAUUCGCAUUGGCAACGCCACGCUGGACCGACCUCCUCCUAGGGUGGGCUCGGGAAGAUGGGGCCCGUGCGCGCAGGCAGACCCGCCCACCUCGCGCGGGUCCCGUCCCUGGUUGAGGUGGGCCCCUCUGCCGUGCCCACGCGGCAGCCGAAGAGUCGGUGCGCAGUGCUGGCACCCGAUAAGUCGCACCAUAUUCCCAGGAAUCGCGGCUUCCGUCCGUCGGAUUCGCAUCGCACGGCUGCGCCUGCCGAAGUGUGCCUCUGUAGUGGAUAGGAUAAGUGUGCCAUCCUGGCGAGUGAGAUAAGAUUUCCACCCCCCUCUUUCCCUUCCCUUUGUUGUUGUUAUUGUUGUUGCUUCUUUCUACUGCUGCUGUUCACUCUUCUCGUUUUCUCCCACUCCCUCGCUCUGUGUUGCUUUUACCACCCAACCCUCGCUUGGCUUCUUCUUCCCACCCCCUCUUGUCACCCUGCCUGGAUGGAUUCGAUGACUUUCGGCCACAGCGCGACCGCAAUUUGAGAGAUUGGGUGAUCACUCAGCGGUGGGCUGCGGCCAGCUUGGUGCUCGCUAUUCUUAGACGCGCCUCAUCCACGUCGGAUUGACCCAAGGGUCGUGGAUCCGCCGUCCAAUGACACGACGCGGGAAAAAAAAAAAAAUGGUGAGUUUCGGUGGUGGUCAACCACACUGAUAGCAGUGAUGUUGAUAUCAAGGAACAAAUGAAGUCAUUAUCAGUUUGUGUGUAUUGGCUUCUUCAUUCAAAACUACAAGUUUUUUUUGUUAACGUUUCUAGGUGGUGUAUUUGGGUAUGAUGUUACAAAUUGAUAAAGUUGUGAUAAAGAUCAUCAUCAUUGUUAUUAUCAUUAUUUAAUUAUUUUUGUAAUUUUUAUUUGUUUACUGGGAAUAAUAGAAGUGGCAUUAAACAUGAGUUUUGAUUCAACAAGUAAUCCAUUUUUUAUUUUAUUUUAUUUAUUUUUUGCUAACACUGCUCUACCACAUGCUUGAAAAGACAGAAGAAGAAAAAGUAAGAUUAAAUAGUAUUAAAACAAAUAAUGAGAAGGAGAGAAGAAGAUUGUCCUCACUUGUAUGAAUCAUGAGGCGAAUCAGUAUACACCCAACUAAAUCAAUUUAUUAUUAUUAUUAUUAUUUUCA